rnacentral:lncRNA from 1 species
UUAAAGGUGUCAUAAAUAAAGGCAACAGUAGUAUACCGCUGUUCAAAACUCAUAAAUCCAUGGACAAAAAAACAAAAUCGGGGUAACAAACCAAAACCGAGCGAAACGCAUUAAAUAUAAGAGGAGAACAACGACACAACAUCGAAACGCAACACACACAGAAACAGACCAAUCAUCAGACAAAACACCACGAGAAUAACAAAUGUAACAUGAAAACCCAA